GCUAGUUUGGUCAGCGCUGAGUUAGCAUGCUCCAAAAGUUUUUUAAGUACAUAGACUGAAUAAACAAUGUUAAACUGCAAUAUCAUACAAACACGACAAGUUUAGUUGUUCCCAGAGGAGACAGGAACUUUCAAAAAGAGGAACGGAAGAAUAAACACAUUUUGCGAUCAACAAAAUCAGUUUUAGGGCUGGUUGGAGGGGAGUGACUGUGAUGUCAUGUGAGAGCUGGGUUGAGCCCCGUCAGCACGGAGGAGAGCCAGGUGCUGGACAGAGACAGGACACACAGCAUGUCCGUGGACACUCACAGCAGACGAUGGGUGACCAGGGCCAAACAGAUGAGGCAGAGAAGGGCAGGCCGCUGAAUGAUGGGGUCGAGGUUGUGGUGCUACAACAUGAUAAUGAAGCUGAAAUGCAGAAGGAGACAAAUAAGGAGACACGGAGGAGGAGGCGGGUCACUCAGAAGAUACACCGAGUAAAACAUAUGGACGGAGCCCUGCCAGUGAGUGUCUCAUUUGUUGAGAGGGACAGAGACAAGCGGUCUGAAGAUUCAAGGGGCCCUGGACCCUUCUUCUACUUUGGGGGGAACAAUGGGGCCUCCAUAGUUGUAUCAUAUUGUGAGAGUCGAGGCUGGCAGCGCAUAUAUGACAAGACCAGGACGGACUACAAGCUGAAGUGGUGUGAAACUAAAUCACCUGCUGCCUACUACAGCUUCAAAGCAGGUGGGCAGUUGAUUUACCAGAUACCCAAUAAUAAGGUCCUGACCACUAAGAUAGGCCUUCUGAACAGCCUACGGGAGUAUGACAGAGUCAGCAGCAAGGUCAACUAUGGACGUGGAAACAGGAGGAUGAGGCUGGAGGAUUUUUUUCCUGUCACUUUUCGUAUGGAUAUGAAAGACGAGAGAGAGGCUUUCUUUAAUGGAAUAUGCAAUGAUAAAUUCAGCAUGUGGAUCUGCAAGCCCACAGGCCUUAACCAAGGCCGUGGUAUUUUUCUACUGCGGACACCAGAAGACAUCACAGCAUUCAGAGAACGACUGCAGAACACAAUGGAGCAGCAGUCCAACAGGAAGUCACCUUUCAAUUUGCCACAAGCUCGGAUUGUUCAACAGUACAUCCAGAAACCUUUGCUACUAAAAGGCAGGAAGUUUGACGUACGGUCAUACUUUCUAAUUGCUUGCACCUCACCAUACAUGGUGUUUUUUCGCCAUGGUUACAUCCGAUUGACGUGUAACCUUUAUGACCCAAACUCUGACAAUAUCACAGCCCACCUGACCAAUCAAUACAUGCAGAAGAAAAAUCCUCUCUACAGCCUGCUAAAAGAGGAAACUGUUUGGUCCAUGGAGCACUUCAAUACAUACAUUAACGAGACAUACAUGCUGUCAAAGGGUCUGCCUAAAGACUGGGCUCUGGGUCCUUUUGCAAAAAGGAUGCAACAUAUUAUCAUGCAGUGCUUUCAAGCUGUCAAAGCCAAGCUGGACUGCAAACUUGGUUACUUUGACCUAAUUGGUUGUGACUUCUUGAUUGAUGAGGAUUUCAAGUUUCUUCAAGACAAUUAUGAUACAGUUUUCUAAUGCCGGCGUGAUUCUCUGCAAACAUGACGUUCAGAGGCCAGUUGUCCCCUAUGGAGCAUCCUAAAUUCAAUCCCUGCCAAGCAGUUGCCUGGCAACCCGUGUACCGUCAGCGUAAACAUGCCGUCCCCAGGCCAGGCACAUUCUGGUCUCCAGGUUACCGGAUCAUUAUGGAUUCACACAUAACAACCAACAACAUUUACAUUGUACAGCAUGAACUCGAUAAUACUUGACACAUAAAAGUAUAACAGUAUCUUGUGUCUUGCAUUGGAAAUAUUCAGUACUUGACAUGCUUUCUGCUUCACUGAUAUGUACAGGUGUUUCACACUCAGUCAGUGUCUAAUAAUGUUGUCAUAUAUUUACACUGUCAUCUCCACAGUGGUUAAAAAAAUUUGUAUGAUGUACAUAUUUGUAAUAUAGGUAAAGUAUCAUUUUACUUGAUUACUGUAAAAUAAAUAGAGCAGUUUGAGUAGGGUAAGACUGCCAUCUACUGGCAGAAGUCUGCUGUAGUUUUUUUUUUCUUUUGGUACAAAGGUCAUAUAGUUCUGAUUUGGUUUCUCUUUAUUGCAUUAGAUCAAAGCAUGGUUAUUACUUAUUGUAUUGUAUUGGAUGCAUGCUGAUAUUUACACAUCACUACAAAAUGAUUUCAUUACAGAAAACUGGUCACUUUAACAAAAAGGCCCAUAUUAUCUUAAUAGCCUGGGAAGUCACUUAAAGGGAUAGUUCACCCCAAAUUUGCAAAAACUGAUAAACGUCAUUUUCCAAAAAAAUAAAAAAUGAACUGAAUGCAGUGAAUUAUUCUCCACGUAUAGCGCGAUCUGAACCACAUUUUGUCUAAAAAGCCGGUAUUGUUAAUUGGCCACUUUCAAGGCAUGGCAGUUUUACUGCAGAAGCUGAUAAGCGCCAUUCAGGGUUGCCAAGUUUUCACAACAAAACCUCAACUAACUUGAUGGACCCCUGAAAUCCCCUUCAGGGUGUAAAAGGAAAAUAAAAGAUGAAACUUUUUCAGGAACCUUGCAAAAGCAGCACGUUACAGUGGUGAGGGAAAACUGCGUGUAAUCACAACCAUGCAGUCUAUGAUCACAACAACAACAACGUUUCUCAGGUGUCUACACUGUCAGUUGAUGAGACUGAAACAUGAAAUGUGGAUUUAUCUGCUUUUGCCAAAAAAACAAAACAAACAAACAAAAGCACUUUUGCUUUUGCUAUAAAACUUUUAAUAUAAAAAAAUACAUACUGUCAAUUAACUUUAACCUGUAUUUAAGUUAUUAUUACUUAAUCAAAACAACCUAACUACAGUUUGAUUGAUAUUACUUGUAAUGCACAUUGCACAAAAAAAAAAAACAAAAAAAAACAUUAUUUCUGAAAAUAUGGAGUUAUCUGUUUUUGCAAAUAAACUCUUGGACCUGUUUUAACGAUGUUCUUACAACCUUUCUGGGCCUUGAACUUGUCAGUUGCAUUGCUGUCUGUGCAGGGACAGAAAGCUCUUGGAUUUUAUCAAAAAUAUCUUAAUUUGUGUUCUGAAGAUGGGUUUGGAAUGACAUGAGGGUGAGCAAGUAAUGACAGAAUUUUCAUUUUUGGGUGAACUAUCUCUUUAAAUUGUGAUGUGACAUGCUUGUUUUGAACAGGUCUGGUUGCUCGAGAUGAAUUGUAACCCUGCACUGCAUACUAACUGUGAAGUCCUGAAAAAUGUGAUACCACAGACAGUCACUGAGGCACUUGACCUUGCUUUGGAAAUCUUCAGUAAGUCUUGCUGUG